UUGCGGAAAAGAGUGCUCUGCUGAAAAACAGUACUAAGUUGAUCACUCCCCAAAUAGUCUACAUGUACAUAUCGUCUGUACAGGCUAACACCCACCCCUAAAAACUAUCUUAUCUACCUAUAAAAUAGUGAUAAUAAUAUUUUCCUAGUGUGUAUUUGAGAGAGUAUAAGGGAAAGUGUCCAUGGAUGUCCAGUAUGCUCCUGGCAUUUUAUAGGUGUGUGGUAACAUUGGGCUGCUGCUGUUAUUAUGAGAUUGGCAAUAAGUUGACUGGUUCACCAGGGUUUAGGAUCUAAUAGUUUUAAAAUAGGAAGAUAGGAAAAAUAAAAUUCCAAAUGAAAGACAUAAUAUUUUAAAGAUAUCAAAUUACGAAAAACUACCAGGAGAUGUAGUGUGUUAAGAAUAUGCUGUAUGAAACAAAAGAAAAUGCUAUAUAGUUUACCAAGAUCACUAUGCCUCUGAUAAUGUUGGAAGUUUGGCAGUGGGUGGUAAGAUGUAUCUUGGCCUUGGGUGGAGAAAGUGGUAUGGCUAACACAUUGUGGGUUCUGAAAGCCACUGUGCAGAUAGUGUGGAACCUCAAAGGUUUGGUUUGGGAUUUUGAUCUGUUCUUGUUUUAUUAUUAUUAUUGUUGUUGUUGUUGUUGUUGUUGUUGUUGUUGUUGUUAUUUUGGUUUGGUUUUGACUGAUCUCAAAAAUCACAAGCCCCAAUCCCCAGCCCCCGACUCAGCCUCCUGAGAACUGGGACCACAAAUGUGCACAAAUGGGCUUGGCCCAUCAGACCUUGGAUGCAGGGUGAAGUCUGAACUGUGCUGGAGUUCCAGACCGUCCUGAGACUUGCAGUGUGUAAGAGUGCUUGCUGUAGCACGAGCCUGAACACGAGAUAAAGUGCCCAGGCCUCCAUGUAAAAUGAGGCAGGCCUGGCUGGCUCCCUGUAACUCCAGUUCUCUAGGGAUCCAGAGACAGGACAGUCUCCAGAGCCUUCUGACUGCCAGCGUAGGACUUGCCAGCCUAGGAUGAUCAUAUCUCAAUAAAACCAAAACCAAACCAAAAUUAAAAACAAAACAAAACAAAACAAACAAACAAAAAAAAAAAAAAACCCAGAACAGAACACAAGUUUAAACCAAACCUUCGAGGUUCUGUGCUAUCUGCACAGUGACUUUCAAAACCCACAACAUGCUCUGAAGAAACCUCUUUCUCCUUCCAAGGCCAAUAUGCAUCUUGCCACCCACUUCCAAACACUCUGUUCAGUGAGAGACACUGUUCCAAAGGAAUAAGGCAAAGACUGAGCAGGACACCGAACAUUUUCCUCUAGCCUCCUCCUCAUGUAAUCACGACUAUGCACACUAGUACUCACACACAUGAAACACCACACACACACAUACAUCAGUCACAUAUAUACCUACCCAAAAAAUAAUAAUAAUAAUAAACUGAAACAGGAAAGACCAGCUUCACUCUGGAAGCAGAUGAUAUCCUGGGGUAGCUGAAGAGAAACUAAAGCAAGAAAAAGUCUGGUUGAUGGAUAGUGAAGUACAAAGAAGUCAGCCGGAAUACCAUGGUAGCACCGGAACUGAAAACAGACUGAUUUGGUAACCAGCCUUGAAACAUCAUUUACAGAAUUUGGCAUCCAAUGAAAGGUCAGAGAAUGGCAAACAGUGCAGGCUACUGUAGUGAGCUGAACUUAGGGCUUCAUGUGUCCUUGUCCAGGGCGGAAGGCAGAGAAUGGGCUAUGAAGGGAAAGACCUCAUCAAAAGAGUGAAGAAAUGGAGAAGAGCAUUGAAAAGUGAGGAGGGACGAGCAUAGACUGAGAAGAGAAACACGCAGGCCCCAAGUAAGCCUACUUGGGAUGACUGCCAACAGCUCUUACAGGCCCUCUUAACCUCAGAAAAAACAAAGAGUGUUCCUAGAGGCCAGAAAGCAUGUUCUGGGAGAUGAUGCGCGUCCCACCCAGCUGCCUGAGGACCAAACUGGGAUUUUAAUACAGCUGAAGCCGGUUACUUUCCUGAUAGACACAGGAGCCCAGCAUUCAGUCCUCACUCAAGCUUCAGGACAACUCAGCGACCGGACGGCCUGGGUACAAGGAGCUACUGGUGAGAAACAAUACCGAUGGACUACGGACCGCCGGGUUCAGCUGGCUACCGGUAAGGUGACCCAUUUCUUCUUACAUGUUCCGGACGCCCGUACCCUCUGCUGGGCCGUGACCUGCUCACCAAACUAAAAGCACAAAUUCAUUUUGAGGAAGGAGGGGCCCAAAUAACUGGCCCCCACGGAACUCCCCUUCAAGUUCUAACCCUAUGAACCGGGACAGGACACUGGCUUGGGCAGAGACUGGUGGGAUGGGGUUGGCGCUCCAACAGCCCCCCUUAAUUACAACUCCAGUCUCCAUAAAACAAUACCCCCUGUCACAUGAAGCUUAUCAAGGUAUAAGGCCUCACAUUACGAGGCUUCUAGAUCAAGGCAUCCUAGUCCCCUGCCGGUCGCCUUGGAAUACGCCUCUUCUGCCUGUUAAGAAACCCGUCACUGGAGAUUAUAGGCCAAUACAAGACUUGAAAAAGGUCAACAAGAGGAUAAAAGAUAUUCAUCCGACUGUUCCAAACCCUUACAAUUUGCUCAGUAACUGUUCAUCGAUGAGAAACAGGGGUAUGCUAAAGGGGUCCUAACACAAAGGUUGGGGCCCUGAAAACGCCCUGUGGCCUACCUGUCUAAGAAAUUGGACCCUGUGGCCUCCGGCUGGCCACCGUGCCUAAAGAUGGUGGCUGCUAUUGCUGUCCUGAUCAAGGAUGCUAGAAAAUUGACUUUGGGACAGCCACUCACCAUCCUAGCACCCCACACAGUGGAGGCCUUGGUAAAACAGCCCCCAGACCGCUGGCUCUCUAAUUCCCACAUGACCCACUACCAAGCCUUGUUACUAGAUGCAGAACAGGUUCAGUUUGGACCCGUAGUCGCCCUCAAUCCUGCCACCUUGCUUCCCCUACCAGAGGAGGCAGAACAGCAUGACUGCCUACAAAUCCUCACAGAAGUACAUGGAACCAGGCCGGACCUAUCGGACCAGCCUCUUCAGAAUGCUGACCACACAUGGUACACAGAUGACAACAGCUUCUUGGCAGAGGGAGAGCGAAAGGCUGGAGCUGCGGUCACUACGGAGGACAAAGUGAUUUGGGCGAAAGCCCUGCCUGCUGGUACCUCCGCACAACGGGCUGAACUCAUCGCCUUGACUCAGGCGUUCAAGAUGACAAAAGAUAAGAGGCUAAUAUAUAUACAGACAGCCGUUAUGCCUUUGCCACGGCACACAUCCACGGGGAGAUCUACCGGAGGCGGGGGCUGCUCACAUCUGAGGGUAAAGAUAUGGCUAAAAUUCUGGCCCUCUUAGAAGCCCUAUUCUUGCCCAAAAGACUGAGUACAUUGUCCAGGACACCAGAAAGGGCACAACCCAGAGACACGAAGAAACCGGCUGGCCGAUGCCACGGCGCGAGAAGCGGCCAUGAGCAAACAAAUCUUGCCCUUAAAUAGCCCAGACCAACCCACGCCCCCACCAGUGGGACAAACCAGUUGGGUUUAUGCCCAUGAGGACAUAGAGCUCCUAGAAAAAAUGGGGGCCAUCUACCACCCUCAACUAAAACAGUGGGUCUACAAAGGACUUUUAAAUUGAUCUCCUUUUUACAUAAAUUAACCCAUUUGGGGUUUAAGAAAAUGAAAACCUUACUAGAUCGGGAAGAGAUAAAUCUGUGUUUUUUUGAAUCGGGACAAAGCGAUACAAAAGGUGACUGAGAGUUACAAAGCGUGCGCUCAGGUUAACCCGGAAAGGACCAUGAUUGGACAAGGAGUUCGUCCUAAGGGACACCGUCCUGACAUCCAUUGAGAAAUUGAUUUUACUAAAAUUAAACCAGAUAUAUAUGGAUACAAGUAUCUCCUAGUGUUUGUAGACACCUUCUCAGGAUGGGUCAAAGCCUUCCCCACAAAACACGAGACUACAAAAAUGGUCACCAAGAAGCUCCUCGAGGAAAUCUUUCCCAGGUAUGGCAUGCCUCAAGCGUUGGGGUCGGACAACGGGCCCGCUUUCGUCUCCCAAGUAAGUCAGUUGGUGGCCAAAUUGCUGGGGAUUGAUUAGAAAUUACAUUGUGCCUAUAGACCCCAGAGUUCAGGUCAGAUAGAACACAUAAAUAGAACAAUUAAGGAGACUUUAUCCAAACUUACGCUUGCAACUGGCUCAAAGGAUUGGGUGGCCCUCCUUCCCCUAGUUCUAUAUCGGGCCCGGAAUACCCCGGGCCCCCAUGGUCUAACUCCUUUUAAAAUAAUGUAUGGAACACCACCCCCAUUUGUCCAUUUCUUUGAUUCAAACAUUGCUGAUUUUGCUGACAGCCCUUCUCUGAGGGCCCAUUUACAGGCCCUACAGAUUGUACAGAGAGACGUCUGGAGACCUUUGGCCGCUGCUUACCAGGACAAGCUUGAACAUCCGGUGGUGCUACACCCGUUCCAGAUUGGAGAUACCGUGUGGGUGCGCAGACACCAGACCAAGAAUCUCGAGCCACGGUGGAAAGGACCCUACACCGUCCUCCUGACUACCCCGACCGCCCUAAAGAGGGACGGAGUCUCGGCUUAGAUCCACACACCACACGUCAAGGCAGUCCGGUCUGAGGAAUUGACUAAUCACAACACUACACCCCAGACAUGGAGAGUUCAGCGCACUCCAAACCCCUUAAAGUUAAAACUCCUACGUGGCUCCUCCUAGCCCUUUUGUGGCCUAGAGUCAGUGGGGGAAUAAGCCCCCACCAGACAGAAAUUUCUUGACCAAGUCGAGUGAAAGAUUUCACUCAAAGUUAGCAAAAAAAUGGGGGAAUGAAAGACCCCAGCUUAGCAGCAGUAACGCCAUUUUACAAGGCUGUACUUAAGAUGACUGGUUCAGGGAAAGGUUAGAACACUGAGUACACAGCGGCUGCCAAACAAGAUGUGUUUGGUUGAAGGCCUGGCAACAGGAGGACUGCCGUUGAGCACCUGACAAUGAGAAAAGCCCCGGGAGAGGUCCCACACCCUGGUGGGGGGCCGAGUCAGCCGUUAUGUUCCAAGAAGGUAGCUAAGAAACUUGCCCCCGGGCUGAACCCUUGGGGGGCCGAGUCAGUCCUUAUGUUUCAGGAAGGUAGCUAGGAAACUUGCCCCCGGGCUAAACCCUUGCCAUAUUAGAAUCCACCAAUUAUAUCCCUGUAACCAUGCAUCUGCUUCUGUAUGCUUGCUUCUGCUCCCCAAAAUCCUAUAAAAGCCCAUUCUUGGUUCCGUGGGGUGCGCCAGUCCCCCGAGUGACUGAAGCGCCCGCAGGUGCCUGUGCCUGUGUAUCCCGACAAUAAACCAAAUCCUCUUGCUGAUUGCA